rnacentral:rRNA from 1 species
UGGGGAAUAUUGCACGAAUGGGCGCAAGCCUGAUGCAGCGAAUGCCGCGUGUGUGAAGAAGGCCUGCGGGUUGUAAAGCACUUUUAUUAGGAAAGAAAAACCCGGAGCUAAUACCUCCGGCAUUGACGGUACCUAAAGAAUAAGCACCGGCUAACUCAGUGCCAGCAGCCGCGGUAAUACUGAGGGUGCAAGCGUUAAUCGGAAUUACUGGGCGUAAAGCGAGUGUAGGCGGCUAUUUAAGUCGGAUGUGAAAUCCCCGGGCUCAACCUGGGAAUUGCAUUCGAAACUGAAUAGCUAGAGUUUGGUAGAGGUAAGUGGAAUUCCGGGUGUAGCGGUGAAAUGCGUAGAUAUCCGGAGGAACAUCAGUGGCGAAGGCGGCUUACUGGACCAAAACUGACGCUGAGGCUCGAAAGCGUGGGGAGCAAACAGGAUUAGAUACCCUGGUAGUCCGUGCCGUAAACGAUGGGUACUAGGUGUCGGGGGACUAGCCCCCUCGGUGCCGUAGCUAACGCGUUAAGUACCCCGCCUGGGGAGUACGAUCGCAAGGUUGAAA